rnacentral:rRNA from 1 species
AUUGAACGCUGGCGGCAGGCUUAACACAUACAAGUCGAGCGGGGGAAGGUAGCUUGCUACCGGACCUAGCGGCGGACGGGUGAGUAAUGCUUAGGAAUCUGCCUAUUAGUGGGGGACAACAUCUCGAAAGGGAUGCUAAUACCGCAUACGUCCUACGGGAGAAAGCAGGGGAUCUUCGGACAUUGCGCUAAUAGAUGAGCCUAAGUCGGGUUAGCUAGUUGGUGGGGUAAAGGCCUAACAAGGCGACGAUCUGUAGCGGGUCUGAGAGGAUGAUCCGCCACACUGGGACUGAGACACGGCCCAGACUCCUACGGGAGGCAGCAGUGGGGAAUAUUGGACAAUGGGGGGAACCCUGAUCCAGCCAUGCCGCGUGUGUGAAGAAGGCCUUAUGGUUGUAAAGCACUUUAAGCGAGGAGGAGGCUACUUUAGUUAAUACCUAGAGAUAGUGGACGUUACUCGCAGAAUAAGCACCGGCUAACUCUGUG